rnacentral:miRNA from 1 species
UAUUAUGUCAUAUAUUUAG